AAAUCAAUAGAUGGGUUUACCUUGAUCGCUCCUAGUUCUCUUAUGGUCGUUUCAACUUUUUGGCUACAAUGGAGUUGAAGGAAUAAGGAAUUUAUUCGAAAGGGAAGAUCUAGAGUUGGAAAAGCAACUUAAGCUUAUGAACAAACCUUCAAUCAAGACUAUAAAGACGUAGUAUGGGGAUAUAUAUGAUUGCGUGGAUUUCUACAAACAACCAGCAUUUGAUCAUCCUUUGUUGAAGAACCACAGUUUUCAUUUUGAGAUGAAACCUAUUUCAUUGCCUAAAAGAAAAAGAGAUCAAGUCUCCUCUAAAGAUGUAGAACCUGUACAUAUAGGGCUGAUUGGGGGAGGCUGUCCUCUUGGUACAGUUCCUAUUGGAAGAGUCACAAAGGAAGAUCUUAUUAGAGAGAGAAAUGCUUCGAAAGUAAUGUCUUUUGCAGAUAAUACUCUCGGUACUCAUUACGCCGUGGCUCGAACAAGAGGUGGGCAAAACAAGUUCAAUGGAGCUGGAACGACACUUCGCUUACAUAAUCCCCGUGUUUCCGGAAGACAAUAUAGUGCAGCAAGAUUCAUGCUUCAAAACGGGGCCGAUACCAUACAAGUAGG